UGGGCGGUUAGCUCAGUUGGUUAGAGCAUCAGUAUGACACGCUGAGGGUCACAAGUUCGACUCUUGUAUCGCCCAG
rnacentral:tRNA from 1 species